CCUACGGGAGGCAGCAGUGAGGAAUAUUGCUCAAUGGGCGCGAGCCUGAACCAGCCAAGUAGCGUGAAGGAUGACUGCCCUCCGGGUUGUAAACUUCUUUUAUAAAGGAAUAAAGUGAGGCACGUGUGCCUUUUUGCAUGUACUUUAUGAAUAAGGAUCGGCUAACUCCGUGCCAGCAGCCGCGGUAAUACGGAGGAUCCGAGCGUUAUCUGGAUUUAAUGGGGUUAAAGGGAACGAAGGUGGGUUGUUAAGUCAGUUGUGAAAGUUUGCGGCUCAACCGUAAAAUUGCAAUUGAUACUGGCAGCCUUGAGUACAGUUGAGGUAGGCGGAAUUCGUGGUGUAGCGGUGAAAUGCUUAGAUAUCACGAAGAACACCGAUGGCGAAGGCGGCCUACUAGACUGCCACUGACGUUGAUGCUCGAAAGUGUGGGUAGCAAACAGGAUUAGAGACCCGUGUAGUC
rnacentral:rRNA from 1 species